CUGCCUGAUUCCAGAGCCUCCCUUCCGCUGGUGGGAUGAAACAGGUACUAAGUUUAGAACUGGGAGGGUUGAAUGGUUUUGUCAUCAAAGAGGACGAGGCUAAAAUAAUGAGUGAAAUCCUAGAGUCAAGGAGAUCUUUGUCACCGUGGUCACACCCUGACCUGACGCUCCCCUCCCUUAGUCAACCAGAUGCUUUCAAGAGAAAUCAGUGGCCAAUUAAAAGCACAUAAAACCAUUAACUUUACUUAUUUCAAUACCUGAUGCAGCCUGACUCAACAAUUUAUCUCGCAAUACAGACACCAAAGACUAGUGAUUGUCACUUCGCUGUUACGUAAGCCAGCUGUUCUUAGCCAACAACCCCUCCCACACCCACCAAACUGCUCCGUUUUGCAGAAGAAAGUACAUAAAAUGAGAAAUUCAGGUUUAACCAGGUUUAACAGAAGUACAAAGGUUUAGAGGAAGAUCUGUGUUGGCAGAAAGAGAAACCGUAAGAAUAAACUGGAACAGUUAGAAUAUAUAAACCAACAUAUGCCACAGUUUCUACACCGGAGGAUGCAAAACUGAGAAAUUCAUUUCUUAUAAGUCACGUGGCGUGAUAGAGAAAAAAGAGAGGCCACACCACUCUUGUGAUUAAUGAAUCACAAUGUCUGUGACCCUUUGUACGAACCCAGCAGCUGAUAGAAACUGGAAACGUAACCUCUGAGGUUAGAUUGACCUAAUAUUAGAAAAACGUCACCUCAGCAAUGAGAACUGAAAUUAAACGGCACAUUGCAUGGCAUUAUGAUCGUCACUGUAGUCUCUGCCAACGCAACAUCGCAGCAACAAAGCAGCAUUUGAUAGACUAUCAUGCUGUGCAGUGAAAAUGCAGUUUCACCAUCGCAGAUUUCUUCUCCUUUUGCUUUUAUGUCACACAAAAUAUUUGAAUAACCUGAGUAAAUACAAAAGUUUCAAAAAUGAUGAUUUCAUUUAUUAAAGGUAAAAAACUAUCCAAAUUAUCUAGGUGGAAAUGCAACUGUCCUCAAUGUUAAAUCAUAAAUGAACUGUGAGCGUUUUUGGUUCAGUUUCAUCAACCUCACCAAAGCCAUACAUCUAAAAUCAAUACGUUUCAAAGCAAGACCUGACUGACAACAUGAAAUACGCUAAAAAAUCUCAAAAAGAAACACAUUCAGAAAUUCAGAGUUAGGAAAAUGAUCUACAAUCUGUGUUUUAAUGAUAGUUUAGUACACCCUGGAUGUUUUUGCAUCAGUAACAAGCAUAACAAAUAUAAUUUGCAGAAGGGUAGAUGGUUAAUGUCUGAUAGAAUUGCAUUGCAUUCCAUCAGUGUCAGCAUUUUUUUUCCCUAUUUACUAAAAUCAUCUCUAAAAAGAAAGCUCUAGUAAGUGUAGCUGUUAGCCUUUGAGGAUCUCUUCACUUUUGCUUGCUUCUUUAAUAUCUGUUUGAUGCAAGUUAAGGAAGAAAUGAUGAAAAUAUGUCAGUUUUGUAAACAAAAAUUAUACAUAAUUCUGAAUCUUAACCCUGAAUGUGUUUUCUAAUCAGAAAAUAAAUAUAUUCCUACUCAAUGUUGACUUUUCCAAGAUUUGCAUGCAGAAGUAAAAAGUCUAAGCAGAUUUAUUACGCUUCUAUGAUGUGGAGUUUCUUUAAAUUGGGAGUAAAAAUAUUGGUAAUAUCGGGGUCUUAUUAAUGAGCUACUUUGUAAUGAGAGGCAUGAGUGUGACUUUUAAAUUAGCAUAUAAAUCAUCUUAAUUUUUUGUGUAAUUUUAAUUUCUUUCCUUGGAUUUUGUGUAAAGCUCUUUGGACACAUUGCAUAUGCUAAGGGCUGCAUAAAAAAAAAACGUGCAUUGCCUUACGUGGGCUCCAAAUUGCAAAGAUGCAAGUAAAAUUACAGAGGGGACAAAAAGGUGGAGUCUGCUUUUUACGCUUCAUUUUGCGUCAGUGGGUCUAAAUUAGUGGAUCAUUUCCUCUCUUACUGCCGUUCCCCCAAUGCUACAGGAGCACUUUGCACCAUUUUCAAGCUAUGUUUAACUCAGAAAAGCACCAUCUCUUGUGCAACGUUAAAAACUCCUUUGAUUCACUGUUUAGUGACAUCUCACGCCGAAUGUGCUAAUCAGCUAAACCCUCUUUGCUCGUGACGGUGUGCGUGCAGUAUGGGUUUCAAAGCUCCUACUUGUUUUUGUGCCGAUUUCUCUUUCAUGUUAGGAAGUUGAGCCAACAGACGGAAGCUUAUUGAGGAAAGAUGUGUCAACAGUUCCUGUUCUUCACUUCCUCUCUUCUCAAAGGGAAAGUCUGAGUCCCUGAAAGUGUGUUCAUUUCAUAAACAUAAUUUUUUUUUUUCCAUUUCUGGGAGGAACGUUUCGCAAACUCCAAUAAAGACGCCAUUUGACUUUGAUCUUUCAUAAAACUGCGGCAAAUAUUGAUAAGCGGGACAAGAUGAUUCCACAGAUUGCCGAGCCGUGUGGAGAUUCCUCGGUCCUCCGCUCCUCUGUGACACAGAGAGGACGCUCUGUUGUCCCUGCCAGGGUGAGCUGCGUCCUGUCCCAAGUCACAGGGAUGCCCAACGUCAGCUGGGGCGCCCACCAAGCGCCAAGGAGUCCAGUGCCAUGGCUGAAACCCUGACCCCCUAACCCUAACCCUAUCUCUUUCCACUUGUCUUCAUGCAGAUUAGCACAUCUAAUGUCUAAGUGAGUUUAAUAUAGUCAUCACACAUCAAGUACAAUUUAGGACUUUUUUAUUUUUUAAUCAUAGAUCAGUGUAAUGCAUCAUCCUUAAUCUAUUCCAACUAGCACUCCCAUCAAAACUCUUCAGUUUGGAAGUUGCUACCAACUGAAGAUGGGUUAGCUAUUCUCGGUUUUGCGAGGUGUUCGUUUUGAAGGCAGAUGUAGCUCAGAGAUGCAAGAUGGUAUUUAAAAUAAUUCAGUUUUGACCUCAAGGGUUUUCCACUGCAAUAGGCAAAUUUUAAACCCUCAAAAUAGCACUUUUCUUAACUUUUUUUUUUUUUAGAACAAAACUAGUCAAAGAAUCUGUUUCUGCUUUUGGAGCCUUUUGGACUUUAUUUUUUUAUUUAUAUACUGCCUUAGGUGCGUGACACUUUGUUAGAAAUAAAUCUGAAGCUUUAGCUCCUGCUUUGUUUUGAAGAUUCACUUCACAGCUUGAAGUGAUCGCGUUCGAGACCUGGUCUGUGUUCCCUCUGAAAGCUCUGAUAACAAAUUUCACCGUUCGGUUUGACAUAAUGGCGCCUAAAACUGAAUGGGAGGAUUAGCUUCUUUUUUUGCUUUUUGCAAAAGCGAAAAAUGUAUAUAUGAUGUCAGACAGUUACAAUAGGCUUUACCUUUUUUUCUUAUCAUUUUAAGAUUCUGCAUAGGACUUGUACUGUAUUUUCAUAGGUUUCCAAUCACAUAAAGACACACAGAACUUCUUUUAAACUUAUUCUCUGCGCUAUCACAUGUCAACAAUCAUUACUCUGUGGUUUGCAACAAACAUUUUCUUUAUUUGGACUCACUACAGAUUGGACCAUGAAGCUUUCUAUCACAAACCGAUCAACUGAAGUCAUAUAAUUUCCUACCCUGUAGAAGAAGUUAUCAACAAGAACAAUAGAUGCAAUAGUAGAUGUGACAAGCAUAGUUGCGUUGCAAAAUCAACUAGUAAACACACACGUGCACACGCCCACACACAUGCAUUGUAAGAAUUUAUACUCAAGGGACAGUUUUACAAAACUUUUACUGUUUUAUCAUGGAAAGUGUACUUAGCAUAGGGGUAAUUCAGGAGAUAUAAGUUCAAUAUUGUGUCAAAAAGUCACUUUAUCUAUCCUAUCUGGCCAAACCAAGACUGAAAGGGUAAUUAUAUCUAGUUUCUUUCAGGGAAACCCUGCAAGAAGUAUCUGUAAAAUCAGAGGAACUUCCCCUACUCCAACCUCAGCAGACCAGGCCGCCUUCAGCAUUGUCAAAUCUAAUGUAGCUUCCCGUUUUUUAUUCAAAGUUAGGUUUAAACUCUCAUUGUUCCUUUCUUAUUUGUGUGUGCUGAAUAUUGCCUGUUAUCAAAUGAUAUUUUUAUGAACUGCUUUCUCAUCCAAAGAACCAAAGACACGCUGCAUGUCUGACGUCAUGGCCCAAUGACGAUCCCUAGUCUAUCCCAUUUUGAAGAGUUACUAAGGUCAUGUUUAUGCUGCACAAUCAAUAAGUCACCAAUUUCAACUUAAAAGCCUAAUUUAUAGAAGUAAAGCAAAAAUAAAGAAAUGUUUUUAUUGUUCUUCGUUUUUGGGACUCGCCGUGGCACCAUAAACUUAGCAAAAAUAUGCUUAAUGUUUGAUUAAUGUCUCUGAAAGUUUCAGUAUAAUAUCAUGCAACUACAAUAAAAGUUGCACAAUCUUAUAAGUAGCAGGGGUUGUGUGUAAGUUCAGGAGAAAUUAACGGGUUAAGUUUUUAACCCGUUACUAACCACUGUAUAAUUUUUUAACCCUUGUUAAUCACAGGUGUAACAAGCCUAGAUCAUAAAUGCCCUGAGAGCGUAAUAUCAGUUAAAUGUAUAAUGCAAACUAAUUCAAAGUGUGACGUAAAAUGCCAACAUUCCUACAAUAAAUUUAUUAUAUUUAUUGUGUUAUUAAAACACAACAAAUGCUUAAACAGUCAAAUCUAAAGGAGCAAUUUAUUAUAAUUCAGUUUAAUUCAGUUCAGUAAACAUAGUACCAAGUCCUAACAAGUCGUCUUCAUAAAAGUAAUUUCAAUUCAGUCAUGAUUAUAUUUCAAAUGAUCCUCGUUAUUAAAGUUUUUCAAAUUAGUUAAAAAAGUUCUCUGUCUAAGGAAACCCAGCAGAUCGCACUAAGUCAUUCAUUCCUCCUGGACAAGCAUGUCGUUGCGUUGUUGACUUUACAGCAAUCUCUCCACAUCCACCUUGCAUGUGGCAACAGUGGAGAGUAAACACUUCCCUUUAACAGGAAGUAACCUCCUGCAGAACCAGAACCUGUCUGGCUCAGUUAAUUAUAGUUAAUUAUUUGACUUUAGAUUAUAUUUUAGAAACCUCCCUGGUUAUCUGUGAAAUAUUUUAGCCUGCACUAAAGAAAAUGGCCAAAAUCAAGUUGAUGCUGCAAACACACACACUUCUAAACAAGAUAUUUAACUCUGACUUCCAAGUAGGCUUGACUGAUAUGAAUCUUCAGGGAGUCGCAAAUGUCAUAAUAAAUACCCGUCAUGUUUAUCACCCGCCGCCUGAGCCAGCAGCCAUUCUGCAUUAUCCAGUUUGUUGUGCUGAUGCUGUUCAAUGGAGGGGAGCUGGAGCCAUAAACCACUCAGUGUCUGGCACAGAGGGAGCAAUCCGAGUGUGAUAUUUCAGCUGCUGCAGCCCUGCCACUCAGCCAGCCACUUAAUUCAUAUUUUCCCUAAUUCUUGGCCAAUUUGACAAAUAACCACAGGCAGAAAUGUAAGAGAAGAGCAUCCAUUUAAAAAAUACAAACAAGAAAAGAGCAUUUAAUCCAAUGUGACAUUCCAAAUUUUCCCAUAAAACCACAGCGAUGCAUUUUAGCAGAACAUCUUUAUCCAGAACAGCCGACAUGCUGUGAAAUCACACUUUCUGUAGAUCAUCAGUGACAACUGGUUAUCGGCCAUUUCUCUGUCAGCUCUCUGUUCAGACUUUGACCCCAUUUCCCUUGUCGUGCCAAUGAAGCAAGACGUCUCUCACAUGAGUCUGGCCUCUUUGAUCAGCAUAAACAGUAACCGCUGAAGUGACAUGCAGCCAGGCACCAUGGUUACUCCAUGACACGGGACACCGUAAGUAAGCCUUGUGGUCCUUGUGAUUGUCAUGAGCAGGUAACAGCCUCAAGAUCAGACUCGAUAAACGUUUGAUGUAAAUCUUAGUCUUUCUUGAGAAUAGCAGAAAUUUUUGUGCUUCUUGCAUGUUUUAAGUGAACCCUGUGAGCCAAGCUGGGUUUCAAGCUGGAUCAUUGGACCAGGUGGGAGGCUAGGAGGGAGGGAAACAAAGCCCUGAUGGAGUCCAACACACACAGGGAACAGGCUCAACUUUGUGGCAAGAAUGUGAACGCAGCUCUUGCUUUGGGCAAAAGAGGACUGGAUAGCUGUUAAAAGCCACAAAUUUGAAGAUGGAUGGAGUUAGAUGCUUGCUAGUGCUGUUCAGAAACCUGUUGUUGGCUCCAGCCGACCUGAUCCUGGGGAAGAGGUUCACUUUCCAGUUGGAAGACAAUCACAAACAUGCAGCCAGUGUUAGAAUGGCCCAGCAGACUGAAAUUGAAUUACCAACCUGCUCCAGUCUGACUGAGCUUGAGUUGGUUUGCAAAAAAGUGACAAAAAUGUCAGUUGUCACAGGAGCAAAUGGUUGCUUUACAAAAUUCUGACUCAAAAAGUAUGACUAAAAAUGGAUGCCUUUAUAGUUCUUUUUCUUUGGAAAAACAUAAAAUUUUCUUCCACUUCUCAAUUCCGUGCAACUUUGUGUUGGUCUGUCACACAUUAAAGCCCAAUAAAACACAUUGAAGUUUGGGGUUGGAACGUUGUGAAGUUUUUGAAAUAAAGUUCUAUGGAUGUGAAUAAUUUUACAAGGAACAUCAGGUAAAAAAAAUUUUUAUUAUGUGUAUUUACCCAGGAUUGUUUAAAAUCAAGUCAGUGGCAAUAUCAUCCAAUCAUACACCAAAAACGCAACAAAGACAACCCAAUAAAUGAAU